CUCAUAUAAAAUUGAUUCACUUGGAGUUUGGGCUAGGAAAAACGUGUCUCAAUGGAUCUGAGAAUAUUGUGCGUUAAAAGUGACCAAAAGAGAGUGAUUCAACGAGUGUCUCAAGAAAUGUUUGACAUGAAAGAAAGAUGGUGUUCAGAAGGUCCAUUCAACCAUGGACUGGGUAAAGCACUCUAACCACAAGGCCACUGUUUUGGUACCUGUUUUGGUCAUCUAGGUGCCGGUGCUUAUUUGACUUGGAAAGCACUCUCCCCCGCAUCCAGUGGUCACGGACCGUUGCAUCAGGGAUCCUAGUGUUGUUUUUGACCGUACGUGUGCCACAUCACAGAGCUGCAGUGAGAUGAUCAGGAGCCGUAUGUAUAAAGUGUCUCGCAGCAUGAGUG
rnacentral:lncRNA from 1 species